rnacentral:rRNA from 1 species
CUACGGGAGGCAGCAGUGGGGAAUAUUGCACAAUGGGGGAAACCCUGAUGCAGCGACGCCGCGUGAGCGAAGAAGUAUUUCGGUAUGUAAAGCUCUAUCAGCAGGGAAGAAAAUGACGGUACCUGACUAAGAAGCACCGGCUAAAUACGUGCCAGCAGCCGCGGUAAUACGUAUGGUGCAAGCGUUAUCCGGAUUUACUGGGUGUAAAGGGAGCGUAGACGGCUGUGUAAGUCUGAAGUGAAAGCCCGGGGCUCAACCCCGGGACUGCUUUGGAAACUAUGCAGCUAGAGUGUCGGAGAGGUAAGUGGAAUUCCCAGUGUAGCGGUGAAAUGCGUAGAUAUUGGGAGGAACACCAGUGGCGAAGGCGGCUUACUGGACGAUGACUGACGUUGAGGCUCGAAAGCGUGGGGAGCAAACAGGAUUAGAUACCCUGGUAGUCCACGCCGUAAACGAUGACUACUAGGUGUCGGGGAGCAAAGCUCUUCGGUGCCGCAGCAAACGCAAUAAGUAGUCCACCUGGGGAGUACGUUCGCAAGAAUGAAACUC